UCUGAGCUGUUUAGAGCCCCAUCCAGGAUGAAGGGAAUUUCCUGAAACGGGCUUUGCUGUCCCACGUUCCUUUUAUGAAACAUGGGACUCUUCCUGCAUCCAUAAAGAUGAAGACAUUCUUUCGCGGGGAUUUAAUUUUGGGGCUGCGUGCCUGGGCCCUGAGAAAGCCCAGGCUUCCUCCUCCUUUUGAAUCUAACCCCAGCAGCUUUGUGCGCACCAGACGAGACUGCAUUCCCCUUAAUGCCCUUGGCAUCGCUUACGCACACCAAAAUCCGCUGCCUCAGGGCUUUCCAGCCAGCGUGUCUUCAUCUGCAACACGUGUGUGACCCUAAGGACUCUUUGGAGGGAUCAGCUGAUGUUACUCCAAAAAAAAAAAAAAGCUUGGAAACACUUAUACAGUGCAAAGACAGAGUUAUGAGAAACUGUGGAAACAACCCAAAACCUUUGGAGAAUUGACCUCAAAGAUGUAAGCUCUGUUUGUGUUGUGGUCCUGCACUCAAGAGCAUCUCGCCAGGUGAUCACCAGGAACUCCCGGCAUCACAUGCCGCACGGGAGGAUGCAGAGUUCUCAGCCCCCUUUGCACUUGGCCCCUUCACUUGGUGGAGGGUGGGGUCUGUGGCUAACUGGCCUCUUUCUGUCCAAAGGAGGUGCUGAGUGUCCAGGCUGUGCUCUCUGCUCCUCCAGCAGCCUCUGCCCAUCCACCCCUCGGCCUCCAGAGCCACUGUCUGCACUCUUGGACUCAGAGCUGAGUCCAGGUGCUGAGUCAUCUCCGGUGAAAGAAGAGGGGGCCUCCGCCACUUAAAGCAGGAAGGGCUGGGAGGGGACAUUCACUCCAACAUUGCCCCCUGGGUUCUAUUACGCCUAAAAGGAAACUGAGGCAUAAUGAAGGUUAAAGACUUACCUAGGUCAUAACAGGAGUCGAGGACUCAGCCAAGGCUAGAAGCACCAUCGGACCCCCAGCUUACAGCUGGACACUGGGGUCACCUGGGCACAGCUACAGUGCAAUGCCUGGACCGAUUAAAUCAGAAUCUCUGGGGGUGGGACCCAGGCAUUGAUGUCUGACACCAAAGGCUGUACACCACUGCAUUAGAGCGAGGAGACCCCGCGUGAACACUAAGGGCCUUGAUUCACAUUCUAUUCACGUCCAAACCGUAUGUCAGAGAUUCUGAUGUAAUUGGCUGCACACCAGGAUCAUUCAAAACUCCCAGAUGAUUCCAAGAUGCAGCUAAGUUUGAGAGCCACUGUUUUAACAUAGCAUCUUAAUUUAACUUUCAAAGUCUAUUUACUCUUCAAGGAAAAUCAUAACCUUUAAUCAUAUCUAAAAAAAAAAAUGUACCUGUUCAGCUGAGAUGCAAUCC